rnacentral:rRNA from 1 species
CCUACGGGGGGCUGCAGUGGGGAAUUUUGGACAAUGGGGGCAACCCUGAUCCAGCCAUUCCGCGUGAGUGAAGAAGGCCUUCGGGUUGUAACGCUCUUUUGUCCGGAGCGAAACGGGCGGCCCUAAUACGAUCGUCUACUGACGGUACCGGAAGAAUAAGCACCGGCUAACUACGUGCCAGCAGCCGCGGUAAUACGUAGGGGACGAGCGUUAAUCGGAAUUACUGGGCGUAAAGUUGUAAGAGAGGGGUGAAAGCCCCGGGCUCAACCUGGGAAUGGCAUUUGGGACUGCAAGGCUGGAGUGUGGCAGAGGGGACUAGAAUUCCUGGUGUAGCAGUGAAAUGCGUAGAUAUCAGGAGGAAUACCGAUGGCGAAGGCAGGUCCCUGGGUUAACACUGACGCUCAUGCACGAAAGCGUGGGGAGCAAACAGGAUUAGAUACCCCUGUAGUC